UACGGAGGGUGCAAGCGUUAUCCGGAUUCACUGGGUUUAAAGGGUGCGUAGGUGGAGUGGUAAGUCAGUGGUGAAAUCUCCAAGCUUAACUUGGAACUGCCGUUGAUACUAUCAUUCUUGAAUAUCGUGGAGGUAAGCGGAAUAUGUCAUGUAGCGGUGAAAUGCUUAGAUAUGACAUAGAACACCGAUUGCGAAGGCAGCUUGCUACACGAUCAUUGACACUGAGGCACGAAAGCGUGGGGAUCAAACAGGAUUAGAACCAUA
rnacentral:rRNA from 1 species